rnacentral:rRNA from 1 species
CCUACGGGUGGCAGCAGUGGGGAAUAUUGCGCAAUGGGCGAAAGCCUGACGCAGCGACGCCGCGUGAGGGAUGAAGGUCUUCGGAUCGUAAACCUCUGUCAGCAGGGAAGAACGGUCACUGUGCUAAUCAGCAGUGAAUUGACGGUACCUGCAAAGGAAGCACCGGCUAACUCCGUGCCAGCAGCCGCGGUAAUACGGAGGGUGCGAGCGUUAAUCGGAAUUACUGGGCGUAAAGCGCUCGUAGGCGGUAUGUCAAGUCAAGGGUGAAAUCCCCGCGCUCAACGUGGGAACUGCCUUUGAUACUGGCAAACUGGAGUGUGUGAGAGGAUAGUGGAAUGCCAGGUGUAGGGGUGAAAUGCGUAGAUAUCUGGAGGAACAUCAGUGGCGAAGGCGACUAUCUGGCACAUAACUGACGCUGAGGAGCGAAAGCGUGGGUAGCAAACAGGAUUAGAUACCCCGGUAGUC